UCUGCGUGUCGCUGGCGGCGUGCAGCGUCAGGAACUGCACGGCCUCCUGCAGGCACCACGAGUAGCCUUCGCUGUAGUCCUGGUGCAGGCUCUUGGGGCCGGCGGCGGCGACGAAGGCUGCGGGGACACGCGGCGGCGGUGUGAACAGAUGCAGCUGGCCAGGUGUGACCCCGAGUCUGACCCGCAGCCAGGGAGGACACCUGUUCGUGGGAGGAAAAAAGGAGCCGGGUGCAGAAGCAGAACAUGAGAGUGGACAUGGAAUGUGACCUCUGAAGCACAGCGUCACCUAGAGACAGUUAAGCCUCAAUGUCUGUGGGCCUUCCUGACAGCCGCCAGGCCCACCGCAAGAGCUUGGAGAAGCGGAGUUUUCUUCAAACUCCCCCAAAGAAGGAGAAGUCUCGGCCAUCUUGGACGUCUCCUUCCCUAGCUGGCUAAACAGUGGGCGCUUUCCCAGUGCUGCCGCUGCUGCACAGCCGAGGCGCCCUCUGGCAGCCCUUGCGCGGGCGUGACAGAGGGCUUAGAGCAUCUUGCCUUAGAGUCAUUCAUUUCACAGUGUCACCCAGGUUCACACUUCCGACCCGAGAGACAUUAGUAAAGGAAUUAAGAUCACCUAUGAAUAACCAGGAGCACAUAUAAAUAACUAAUACCUACUACGGUUAUAUUUCUAAUUACUUUCUUCUUCAUUAUUUAUAUGGAAAUAGGCUGAGGCCUUUUGCUCCUGCCCCACUUAUGGGAUCUCCCCCCUACAAAUUAUGAUUAUCAAGCCCAUUGUACAGAUGAGGAAACUGAGCCUUUACAAGGUGAGGGGACUGGGCUGCCCAGGUGUGCUCCUGGUCCCACGCAGGGGUCAGCCUCUCAGCUCGUACUUUGCAGCAGCUCCCCAGGCUCCAGGUUGUUGAGGCCAGGAACACAGGCAUCUGCUUAAACCAUCUCUGUGGGGCUUCCACAUACCCCUCUGUGAACUGGGUGCCUUCCAGACCUGCCUGCCAUCUCCAGUAGCACUGAUGACAGCCACAGACAGUGGCCAGAACAGUGGCUGUGUGGCCUAGCUCCGCCAGCUGGCAGGCCCUGCGCAGGGUCCCUCAGUUUCUCAGCCCUCCUCUUUCUGUGCCUGUGGAGACACAGACCACCCUUCUGCAGUCUCCCGUGACAUUUCAGGGGUGUGCUGGGGCACAGCUCUGGGGUGCAGAGUCUGGGUGCAGCUUGAACCUACAGGGGUCCCCCAGGAACGUAUUUCCUUCUGAGAGGCCCCAGGGCAGGCACUGAGUGGCUUGGUGAAAAUGGCAGGUCCAGGUCAGGGCUGGGGUCUGCCCUUGUCUUUCUCACCUAGAGACUGGUGGACACACCCCACUCCUCUCUGAGCCUCAGUUGAUGGGUCUAUGAAAUGAACUUUCCAGGCUGGGCACUGUGGCUCAUGCCUGCAGUCCCAGCACUUUGGGAGGCCGAGGCAGGCAGAUCACCUGAGGUUGGGAGUUUAAGACUAACUUGACCAACAUGGAGAAACCCCAUCUCUAUUAAAAAUACAAAAAAUAGCCAGGCGUAGUGGCACACACCUGUAAUCCCAGCUACACAGGAGGCUGAGGCAUGAGAAUCACUUGAACCCAGGAGGCAGAGGUUGUGGUGAGCUGAGAUAGUGCCACUGCACUCCAGCCUGGGCAACAAGAGCAAAACUGCGUCUCAAAAAAUACAAAAUUAAAAAAAUAAAAAUGAGCUUUCAGCUUUCAA